AUGAAGCCCAGCUUGCUGGGUGGAUUAGUGGCGAACGGGUGAGUAACACGUGAGUAACCUGCCCCUGACUCUGGGAUAAGCCCGGGAAACUGGGUCUAAUACCGGAUAUGACUUUUGACCGCAUGGUUGAGGGUGGAAAGAUUUAUCGGUUGGGGAUGGACUCGCGGCCUAUCAGCUUGUUGGUGAGGUAAUGGCUCACCAAGGCGACGACGGGUAGCCGGCCUGAGAGGGUGACCGGCCACACUGGGACUGAGACACGGCCCAGACUCCUACGGGAGGCAGCAGUGGGGAAUAUUGCACAAUGGGCGCAAGCCUGAUGCAGCGACGCCGCGUGAGGGAUGACGGCCUUCGGGUUGUAAACCUCUUUCAGUAGGGAAGAAGCGAAAGUGACGGUACCUGCAGAAGAAGCGCCGGCUAACUACGUGCCAGCAGCCGCGGUAAUACGUAGGGCGCAAGCGUUAUCCGGAUUUAUUGGGCGUAAAGAGCUCGUAGGCGGUUUGUCGCGUCUAUCGUGAAAGUCCGAGGCUCAACCUCGGAUCUGCGGUGGGUACGGGCAGACUAGAGUGAUGUAGGGGAGACUGGAAUUCCUGGUGUAGCGGUGAAAUGCGCAGAUAUCAGGAGGAACACCGAUGGCGAAGGCAGGUCUCUGGGCAUUUACUGACGCUGAGGAGCGAAAGCAUGGGGAGCGAACAGGAUUAGAUACCCUGGUAGUCCAUGCCGUAAACGUUGGGCACUAGGUGUGGGGGACAUUCCACGUUUUCCGCGCCGUAGCUAACGCAUUAAGUGCCCCGCCUGGGGAGUACGGCCGCAAGGCUAAAACUCAAAGGAAUUGACGGGGGCCCGCACAAGCGGCGGAGCAUGCGGAUUAAUUCGAUGCAACGCGAAGAACCUUACCAAGGCUUGACAUGUUCCAGAUCGCCUCAGAGAUGGGGUUUCCCUUCGGGGCUGGUUCACAGGUGGUGCAUGGUUGUCGUCAGCUCGUGUCGUGAGAUGUUGGGUUAAGUCCCGCAACGAGCGCAACCCUCGUUCCAUGUUG
rnacentral:rRNA from 1 species